UCUGGCGUAGCUCAGCGGUAGAGCGGCUCCCUGUUAAGGAGAUGGUCGCAGGUUCGAUCCCUGCCGCCAGAG
rnacentral:tRNA from 1 species